GUGGAACGUUGGCAAUUAUGAGCUUCAUAUGUUCAUGACAAUGACCUAACCUCACGUUCUUUCUUUCAGUAUAAAAACAAUGGUUUAGUCCAUCGACUAGGGGGAAUGCUGUUAUAAUAUCGUCCCACGUGAUGUGGGGUCAAAGUCCACCGGCAGAGUCCAGUGUUAAAGUUCUACUAGAAUGACCAACUGUAAAGUCUAACUUCAAAAAUCAACUUCAAGGUCUUCCUUCAGGGUCCAGCUCCCCAGCCAUGACUACCAUUUGUGCUCAUUAUCUGCUUUUGCCGUCAGGGUCAGUUCCUGCUGCGGUCAUUAAUGUACAUAAUUCCAGUUUGGUGUUAAAAUCUCUGGAUACCAUCUAAAUAUCUCUUCUUCAUGAUUAAUUUAACUUAUUAUGGAUAGUGCUAUGCUCUCAAGAUGAUUUUCUACUAAUACAUGGAGUAUUUAUCCUCAGUACAUACUCCAUGCCUUUUGUCAAGACCUGCCGUCCUGACACUUUACUUUUCCUCAUAGGAAUAAUACUAAGUUAAGAUAUCAUGUUAUAGUAAUAGAUUUAUUUCUUAAUUUACAUUAGGAUGGUUUGUAACCGACUGACUUCAUAUUAUUUUAUUGUGAAAUUGUUGAACCAAAUAUACCAUUGUUAAAAGUGAAA